CUCAGCGCACCGGGCAGGGGUCUUUGGGGCCGGGGGGGGGGAUCCUGCCCCGCUGCGCUCCCUGCCCGGUGCUCUCCCCGCAGCGUGCCUGCCCGCUGACACGCAGCGCUCCGAUUCCGCGGCGGCGAGCGCGUGCUGGAAUUGCUAAGAAUAGAAAAUGUUGUCAAAUAUUUCAGCUUCGGAGGAGCCCCUGGCUGUUUGUGCUCUGCUCCCGGAGCGACGCGGCGUGCUUUGAAUUUCACAGCUUCGCGGGGCUGCGGAGCCCUCCGCCUCAACUUCCCUUUCAAACUCAUCCAGGAAGCUAAAAAGAGACAGUAAAAUGUGAAGUUGGGAAACGCACACGGAGGCAGAGCACACCCGUGAGACGGGCUGCAGGAGCAGGGAGCACAGCGGGGUCUGGGGGCACCGAGGGGCUGCACGGGUGGCUCAAGGAGCUGCGAGCAACCUGCCUGCAAGCAAGGAAAGCUCUCGAGAGGAGGCUGCUGUGGCCGUGCCCCGUGGCUGCCCGCUGCCAUCGCCCAUCCUGUGCCGUGCCCCCGGGGGCAGUGCUGGUGCUGGUGCUGGCCCCAGGGCUCAGCAGGGAGCUGCCCUGCCGGGCUCUGCGCAGAGCAUCCUCCUGGCCUGGUAAUUAGCGCAUCUGAAGGAUCAGUCCGCUUCUCAAAAGGGGAAAAGAGGAUGCAGGAAAUUACCAGCCAGCUCGGCUGAAUCGCCGCAGAAGGGCAUUGCUGCAAUCGAUGGAGGAGCAGCGAGAAGCUACUGAAAGGGAAGGAGCUCCGUUAGCUCCUUGCUGUCAGCACCAAACUUUGAGGUGCGCAGCAGCGGCACAGGGAGAGAACCUGGGGAGAAGCAGGCGGCUGCUGGGGCAGCGUUAAGGGUGGGCUGCGAGGCCGAGGGGCCCGUCCUAGCAGUGGGGUCACCCUCCUGCCUUCCUGGAGGCACGGGGCAGCGCCCCAGCACCCUACAAACCAGGGUGCCAGCUGCACCCACCAGCUGCGAGCCAGGCGCUUCUCACAGCAGCUGGGUGUCCCUGCCCUGCACGCGGAGCUGCCUCGGGGCCGGCCCCAUCCCCAUGGCAGAGCAGAGCACAGCUAAGUUUAGCCCAGCCGCGCACGGGAAGCGGCGUUAUCUCAUCCCACCUCCUUGUCCUCAGCUGUGCGCACGCUAAUCUCCGCCUGGCACCUUGAGCUCGGAGCUGCCCUGCGCUGCAAGCGCCCUUUUAUUUUUAUUUUGGUCAUCUCCGUCACAACUUCUUCCCACUGAGCAGCCGCUGUCAUCCGUUGUGCGCCUGGCACCGGGACGGAAGCGCUGCUCCUCCCGCUGCUCGCCGCGGGGACGUGUGGCUGGCUGAUGGCUUCUCCCCUAUCUUUGGGCACAAGCAAAGCGCCUGCAGAUGCCCCACACGCAGGGCUGCCCCUCACGACACACGAGGUGCAUACCGGGGGCAGCCACGGGCACGGUGCCAGCGGUGCCACAGCUCCGGUGCCGAGCAGUGCGAGCCACCCGCGCUUAACAUCAGGUCUGGUGUCAUUCCUCGGUUCUGUGCACAGAUGGGAUGCACACAGAGCCAAAAUUAUUCGUCUCCUACAGCUCGGAGACCUUCUGGGGUGCACGCCGACCCCUGGCAGACCAUGUGGGUUUUCACCACCCUGCCUGCCCUGACCUCUGCGCUGCACCCGUCGCAAAAGCUGCUUCCAGCUUCGUGCCGGAUUGGAGAGCUCCAGGAGAGGCAGCGCGCAGCAGCUCCUCAGCAGCGUGCUCCUGCGGUUAAUCACCAGUGACCAUUUUUAGUAAUAAUUCCCGAGGGGCCGAGGGCCGCGCGGAAACAUCCGCUCCUGCCUCGCUCCCCUUCCCACCAUCUGCCCCGGCUCCUCGGGCGCGGCAGGUCCAGGAAAAAAAAACAGCCCCUGAAUUAGAGCAGCCGAGCCGGCGAGGAAAUCCGAGCGCUAAUCCCCGAGCUCUCGCUGGCGCACGGCAGAGCUCCGGCGAGCCUUCCUCCGCCCCGGCCGCAGCUGGAGGCCCUGGGUGACGCCGUGGGUGACGCCGUGGGUGACGCCGUGUCACCUUCCCGCAGGGCUGCGGCGAGUGGCUGGAUGCAGAGGUGCAGGGCAGGGAGCGGCGGAGCCGCGGUGCCCACAGCGAGCGGUGGCCCCGGCAGCCGGGCAGGGCUCCAGCCCUGCGCGUGCCUCCACACCCGCGCUGCCCCGGCUUGUUUGCUCUUCGCUGUUUGCUUUUGCAGGACCUGCGUGCGCGGGGGUGCGGAGCCUGGGGGGGGUUAAACUGGUUUGUGAGGGAUGGAUUUUCUCAAAGUCAUCGAUGGCGGUGCGGUCGCCCGCCCUGCUGGGCUGGGGCGAGCACCCGGCACGUCUGAGCACGAGGCUCUGCCCCAGGGCUCCAACAGCUGCCUGGGCCCUGCCGCAUGGACUGCCUGGGUGUCCUGCAGCGCCCGCGGAGCUGUGCCCAUGCCAGGAGGGCUCAUGUGUGGCCAGGAGGCUGCAGCUGCUGCGUGCCAGGGGCUGGGUGCGGGGAGGCCGCGGCUGCCAGCCCUGCGAGCACGGGCAGAGGCCGAGCCUCGGAGCGCUGCCAUGUGCAGGGGAUGCGCCGCGUGGUGCCAACCCGAUGUCUCGUUCCUAAAACCCUGCAGCACGCUCUUCAUCGCCCUGCUGCUGCCACUCGGUCAGAGGAAAGCUCACCCCCCAAGCCCCUGCUCAAUAAUUAAUCGUAAGCCAUUUGGGAUUAAAGACGUACCUGUCCCUGCAGAAAUGCAGCACGAAGCACGGGGGUGCCGCAGCCUCACCUCCUGCAGCUCCUCCUGCACUUUGGAGACCUGCACACGUGGAGGGAAGGAGCAGCGCCGCGGUGAGAGGGGGCAGAUUCAAAUUCAAUGCAAAGCAGCGUGGAGGAAGUUGUUCCUGGUGCUGCUCCAAGCCUGAAACAGCGUCAAAAAGUCACCAGAAAAAGCCAGCCCUGCUCCUCGCUGCAAGGAACGCGCCCAGAGCUCAGCAAACUGCUGAGUUCCUGCAGGUGUUUCGUUUUUAAAUCCCCACUCCCAGGGGCCACGGGUGCCACCCCAUGGGUGCUGGGGGCUUUUUGCAGCCUCAGCUCCUCCCGCAGUGACACAGCCCCGUGCUGGCCGCUCCCGGGCGCACGUCCCUGCGGUUUGGUGGGCGGGGGGGGGUCACGGCAUCAGCCCCCCGGGGCACAGCCCUUGGUGUAAGGAAUGGGUAUUUUUAAAAUCUGUUAGACCCAAAGCGUGAAACCUUAGCUGACUCAUACGAAUAUGAAACUCUCUUACGGGAUGAAUUAAAGCUAUUAAAACAGAGGUAAUUACUCAUGCGAA